rnacentral:rRNA from 1 species
CCGCCGCCGCUCUCCCCGCUCCUCUCCUCCCUCCAGAUCGCCCCGUCCUUCUCCCGCCUCCUCCUCCGCCUCUCCCUCCUCGGCGACAUGAGCGGCCCCGCCCCGACCCCGCCGCCGCCCCCUCCUCCGGCGGCGGCGCCCGCUCGCCCCGUGCGCUAUGACUUCCUCAACUCCAAGCCGCCCCCCAACUACGUCGCGGGUCUCGGCCGUGGCGCCACCGGCUUCACCACCCGUUCCGAUAUCGGGCCGGCUCGCGCUGCCCCGGACCUCCCAGAUCGCUCCGCCGCCGCGGCUGCUCCUCCCGCUGUCGGCCGCGGCCGCGGGAAGCCCCCCGGCGAGGACGAAGGCGGUGAUGAAGGCGGCGACGAGGAGAAGGGAUACGACGAGAACCAGAAGUUCGACGAGUUCGAGGGCAACGACGCCGGCCUCUUCUCCAACGCCGACUACGACGAUGAUGACCGCGAGGCUGAUGCCGUCUGGGAGAGCAUCGACCAGAGGAUGGACCUGCGCCGCAAGGAUCGGCGCGAGGCGCGUCUCAAGCAGGAGAUUGAGAAGUACCGUGCGUCCAACCCUAAGAUCACCGAGCAGUUUGCUGAUCUCAAGAGGAAGCUGGCAGAUGUGUCUGUGCAGGAGUGGGAAAGCAUACCUGAAAUUGGGGACUACUCGGCACGCAACAAGAAGAAGCGGUUCGAGAGCUUUGUCCCGGUGCCGGAUACUCUGCUUGAGAAGGCCCGGCAGGAGCAGGAGCAUGUCACAGCCCUGGACCCCAAGAGCCGUGCGGCUGGUGGCACCGAGACACCGUGGGCGCAAACUCCGGUUACCGACCUGACUGCCGUGGGUGAGGGUCGUGGUACCGUGCUUUCGCUGAAGUUGGACAGGUUGUCGGAUUCAGUUUCUGGGCUUACUGUUGUUGAUCCAAAGGGAUACCUUACAGACUUGAAAAGCAUGAAAAUUACUAGCGACGCUGAGAUCUCUGACAUUAAGAAGGCAAGACUGCUGCUCAGGUCUGUGACACAGACAAACCCAAAGCAUCCUCCAGGUUGGAUUGCUGCUGCUAGGCUUGAAGAGGUUGCUGGCAAGCUCCAGUCUGCUCGGCAGCUCAUUCAGAGGGGCUGUGAGGAGUGCCCCAAGAACGAGGAUGUUUGGUUCGAGGCAUGCCGGUUGGCUAGCCCAGAUGAGUCAAAGGCAGUAAUUGCCAGGGGUGUGAAGGCAAUUCCCAACUCUGUGAAGCUGUGGCUGCAGGCUGCAAAACUAGAGACUAGUGAUUUGAACAAGAGCAGGGUCUUAAGGAAGGGGUUGGAGCACAUUCCUGAUUCAGUUAGGUUGUGGAAGGCUGUUGUGGAGCUGGCGAACGAGGAGGAUGCACGGAUGUUGCUUCAUAGGGCUGUGGAGUGCUGCCCACUUCAUGUCGAGCUGUGGCUUGCCCUAGCAAGGCUCGAAACAUAUGACCAGGCAAAGAAGGUGCUUAACAAGGCCAGGGAGAAGCUCAACAAGGAACCUGCCAUUUGGAUUACAGCUGCAAAGCUGGAGGAGGCUAAUGGGAACACCCAAUCCGUAAGCAAGGUGAUUGAGAGAGGUAUAAGAUCUUUGCAGAGAGAAGGGUUGGAUAUUGAUAGGGAGGCGUGGCUAAAGGAAGCCGAAGCUGCAGAGCGUGCUGGAUCUGUGCUUACUUGCCAGGCUAUUGUGAAGAGCACUAUUGGAGUUGGGGUUGAUGAUGAGGACCGGAAGCGAACAUGGGUUGCUGACGCUGAGGAAUGCAAGAAACGUGGUUCAAUUGAGACAGCUCGGGCCAUCUAUGCACAUGCUCUUAGCGUGUUCGUUGCCAAAAAGAGCAUAUGGCUUAAAGCGGCGCAGCUUGAGAAGAGCCAUGGGACAAGAGAAUCUCUUGAAGCCAUUCUCAGAAAGGCUGUCACGUACAAUCCAAAAGCUGAAGUGUUAUGGCUUAUGGGUGCAAAGGAAAAAUGGCUGGCUGGUGAUGUCCCUGCAGCUCGGGCCAUCCUUCAGGAAGCUUAUGCUGCUAUCCCUAUUUCAGAGGAGAUCUGGUUAGCUGCAUUCAAGUUAGAGUUCGAGAAUAACGAACCAGAGAGAGCAAGAAUGCUUUUGACCAAGGCCAGGGAAAGAGGAGGCACCGAGAGGGUUUGGAUGAAAUCAGCAAUUGUUGAGAGGGAAUUAGGAAAUGUGAAUGAGGAAAGGAGGUUGUUGGAGGAAGGUCUGAAGUUAUUCCCCUCGUUUUUCAAAUUGUGGUUAAUGCUUGGACAGAUGGAAGACCGGAUUGGACAUGUACCAAAGGCAAAGGAGGUUUACGAGAAUGGACUUAAACACUGCCCCGGUUGCAUCCCUCUUUGGCUCUCGCUAGCUAGUCUAGAGGAGAGGAUAAAUGGCUUGAGUAAGUCACGUGCUUUCCUCACCAUGGCAAGGAAAAAGAAUCCAGCUACACCUGAACUAUGGCUUGCAGCAAUUCGAGCUGAAUUGAGGCAUGGGAACAAAAAGGAAGCUGAUUCUCUACUAGCCAAGGCAUUACAAGAGUGCCCAACAAGUGGCAUUUUGUGGGCUGCAGCUAUUGAGAUGGUGCCACGUCCCCAACGCAAAUCAAAGAGCUCAGAUGCUAUAAAGCGAUGUGAUCAUGAUCCACAUGUCAUUGCAGCUGUCGCCAAACUUUUCUGGCAUGACAGGAAGGUUGAUAAAGCAAGGAGUUGGUUGAACAGAGCUGUUACUCUUGCUCCUGACAUUGGGGAUUUUUGGGCAUUGUACUACAAAUUUGAACUCCAGCAUGGAAAUGCGGACACACAAAGGGAUGCUCUGAAACGAUGCAUUGCAGCCGAACCAAAACAUGGCGAGAGAUGGCAAGCUAUAAGCAAGGCCGUUGAGAACUCACAUCAGCCAGUUGAUGCCAUCCUGAGAAAAGUCGUUCUGGCUCUUGGUGCAGAAGAAAACCCCAAUGCUGCAGAACCCUAG